GCCUAUAGCUCAGUCGGUUAGAGCGCUGUCCUGAUAAGACAGAGGUCGAUGGUUCGAGUCCAUCUAGGCCC
rnacentral:tRNA from 1 species